rnacentral:rRNA from 1 species
AGAGUUUGAUCCUGGCUCAGGAUGAACGCUAGCGGCAGGCUUAACACAUGCAAGUCGAGGGGUAACAGGGGAUUUCGGUUCUGCUGACGACCGGCGCACGGGUGAGUAACGCGUAUGCAACCUACCUGUAACUGGGGAAUAGCCCGAAGAAAUUCGGAUUAAUGCCCCAUAAUAUUUUCGAGAUGCAUAUCUUGAAUCUUAAAGUUUCGACGGUUACAGAUGGGCAUGCGUGACAUUAGUUAGUUGGUAAGGUAACGGCUUACCAAGACAAUGAUGUCUACGGGGUCUUAAAGGAUGGUCCCGCACACUGGUACUGAGACACGGACCAGACUCCUACGGGAGGCAGCAGUGAGGAAUAUUGGUCAAUGGGCGCAAGCCUGAACCAGCCAUGCCGCGUGAAGGAUGACGGCCCUACGGGUUGUAAACUUCUUUUAUACAGGAAGAAAAUGCCUUACGUGUAAGGUACUGACGGUACUGUAAGAAUAAGGAUCGGCUAACUCCGUGCCAGCAGCCGCGGUAAUACGGAGGAUCCAAGCGUUAUCCGGAUUUAUUGGGUUUAAAGGGUCCGUAGGCGGAUUUUUAAGUCAGUGGUGAAAGCCUACAGCUCAACUGUAGAACUGCCAUUGAUACUGGAAAUCUUGAGUGUGAUUGAAGUGGGCGGAAUGUGUCAUGUAGCGGUGAAAUGCAUAGAUAUGACACAGAACACCGAUUGCGAAGGCAGCUCACUAAGUCACAACUGACGCUGAGGGACGAAAGCGUGGGUAGCGAACAGGAUUAGAUACCCUGGUAGUCCACGCCGUAAACGAUCAUCACUCGCUGUUGGCGAUACACUGUCAGCGGCCAAGCGAAAGCAUUAAGUGAUGCACCUGGGGAGUACGGUCGCAAGAUUGAAACUCAAAGGAAUUGACGGGGGCCCGCACAAGCGGUGGAGCAUGUGGUUUAAUUCGAUGAUACGCGAGGAACCUUACCAGGGCUUAAAUGCAGAACGACAGUUUGGGAAACCAGAUUUUCUUCGGACGUUUUGCAAGGUGCUGCAUGGUUGUCGUCAGCUCGUGCCGUGAGGUGUCAGGUUAAGUCCUAUAACGAGCGCAACCCCUAUCUUUAGUUGCCAGCGGGUUAAGCCGGGGACUCUAAAGAAACUGCCAGCGCAAGCUGUGAGGAAGGUGGGGACGACGUCAAAUCAUCACGGCCCUUACGUCCUGGGCUACACACGUGCUACAAUGGUAAUGACAGAGGGCAGCCACCUGGCGACAGGGAGCGAAUCCUUAAACAUUAUCUCAGUUCGGAUUGGAGUCUGCAACUCGACUCCAUGAAGCUGGAAUCGCUAGUAAUCGCGCAUCAGCCAUGGCGCGGUGAAUACGUUCCCGGGCCUUGUACACACCGCCCGUCAAGCCAUGGAAGCUGGGAGUGCCUGAAGUCGGUCACCGCAAGGAGCUGCCUAGGGUAAAACUGGUAACUAGGGCUAAGUCGUAACAAGGUAACC